AUCCAUCUUACGAGUCCAAAAUAGGACGAAACGCGCGUCAAACAGUAU
rnacentral:hammerhead_ribozyme from 1 species